GUGAAAAACUUAAAACUCCAAGGACUUGGCGGUGCUCCACACCGACCUAGAGGAGCCUGUCCUAUAAUCGAUACCCCCCGUUUUACCUUACCAUUUUUUGAAACUCAGCCUAUAUACCGCCGUCGCCAGCCUACCUUAUGAAAGAUCAAAAGUAGGCAAAACAGUCACCGACUAACACGUCAGGUCAAGGUGUAGCACAUAAAAUGGAAGAGAUGGGCUACAUUUUCUACUUUAGAAAACACGAACAUCACGGUGAAACCCGUCCUUUAAGGAGGAUUUAGCUGUAAGGCGGACAAGAGAAUCCACCUAAACCCCGCUCUGGAGCGCGC
rnacentral:rRNA from 1 species